rnacentral:lncRNA from 1 species
GCAGGGAUAUUAAUUGAUCUAUGGGGGUGCUUGGAUCGCAACCGAAAUCAAAAUAGAAAUAGACAUGAUUUGGAAUUGCAAUUGGAAUCGAAAUGAGAAUGGCCAGAUCCCCCGAAAUAUUUGGUUCGUGAUCUGAAUCAGAAUCGAAAUCGAAAUUGGAAUGAAAAUUUGAAUCUAUAGAAAAAAGUAGAGAUUGAGUUCUAUAUAGGUUGGACCAUUUCUAUUCCAUC